AAUCUUGAAGAAAAGGUUAUUUCGUGUCAUUAUACUAAACAUUUGUGAAGAGGAACCAUGCCACGCACAAAAAAAUUCAGCAGAACUGUCAGAUUUUCAAAGAGGUCGUAUUGUUGGGCAAUCUGAGGCUGGUUUCAGCCAGCGAAAAAUUGCCGAAAAUCUUCAAAUUCCUC